UACGUAGGGUGUAAGCGUUGUCCGGAAUUAUUGGGCGUAAAGAGCUCGUAGGCGGUCUGUCGCGUCGGAUGUGAAAAUCCAGGGCUCAACCCUGGACCUGCAUUCGAUACGGGCAGACUAGAGUUCGGUAGGGGAGACUGGAAUUCCUGGUGUAGCGGUGAAAUGCGCAGAUAUCAGGAGGAACACCGGUGGCGAAGGCGGGUCUCUGGGCCGAAACUGACGCUGAGGAGCGAAAGCGUGGGGAGCAAACAGG
rnacentral:rRNA from 1 species